UCCGGGCUUAUAGCUAUUGGACUUUGUUUGUUAUAACUGAUUGUGUUGCAUUCUUGAGUUCAGUUUAAUUGUUCAGGGUUAUAUAUGAAACAUUCCAGGGGGUUCAAUUGUCUAUACGUAUACCUAUGGGCUGAAGUGUAAAUUCAGAAGUUUCAUCCUAUAAAUCUGUUCAGUGUGCAGCUAGGGUUCCAGAACCUUCAUUUUUACGCAUCAACACAUAUCUACUCUGUGUAUAGUUCUGCCAUUAUCCCCCAAUUCUCUUUCAAUAUACACCGAUCAUACACACAGUUCUCUCAAUCCAUUAAAGAUGUGCAUUUCAUUCAAGUUCUGAUCUGAUGGAGAUCCGUUGUGGGACUUGUACAGCUGUUGGUCCGGUUGUGUUUCCAACACAGUAGAAGGAUUGAAGAUCUGUUGAAGAUCUCAUUAAUUUAUUCAGUUUGUGUUGUUGAAGAUCUUGUGAAUCUUCAUAUUCUUAGUUUUUCCUGUAUCCUUUUGUUAACCAGCCGAGUAUGGUCUGGUUAUUGUUGAUCCUGUGUUGGAUCUUGUUAUUUCACAUUUCUUUCUAUGAUCAACAGAUAUUUUAUCUGUUGAUCCUGUAUUUCGUAUUUGUUGUAUUAGAUCUUACAUAAGUAAGAUCUAGGGUUUGGGGGGUGUUUUUUGGUUUGGGUUGAAUAAUAAAGUUUUACGUCAUGUUUUUGUCGCUAUCUUUUGUAUCUACUGUGUUUGUGUUGUUAUAUUUGCUACAAUCGAUCAGUAUACCAGUGUUUUUGACAUGGUAUCAGAGCCUUCAUGCUCCUGUUGAUGAUCGAUUGUAUGUCUUCCGCUGUAUUGUUGAGUGUCGGUUGUCUGAUUGUUUGGCUUUGUUGUUGUUUCCAGGGUUUCUGUUCUUGGAAUUGGUUGUUGACAGCAGAUCUGUGUACUUCAGGUUAAAGAGAAUUGAAACCCUAUCUCAGGGCUUCAAGUGUUGUCUAAGUGUGCUCGGAAAUUUUUGGUUAGUGACAGAUCUGCUUAGAUCUAUGAUUUCUUGGUGAUAUACAGUUUGGUUCUGAAUAGAACCCUAAGUUAGGGUUUCUAACUUCUGGUCUUUUCUCCAAUUUAUCAUUUGUGUUAGUCUCUGCAACCCUCGGAGGUUCAGGGCAAACUAACCAGAAAAGUUAUGGUGAUUCUUUUCUGUCUGCAUCAGAUCUUGUUGUUCUUGAAAAUCACAUAUCUGAUAUUAUUUGGUGUUGCUUGCAACCGCUGUAAGAUCGUUCCUCUCCUUUAUUUUUGUUUUUAUUUUUUGUUUCUGCAUCUAACUAUUGUUGUGUCUAGGCAUUCUGUUUACCGGACUAGUCGGGCCGGCUCUUGAUCGAGUCUACUUGUUAUCUGUUGCAUUGUUUGGUUCUUGGUUGUGUUGAUUUGUUUUGGUUCUGUGGUUGUUACUGUUUAUUAUUUGUUCUUGUUUGUUUUGUGUGGUUAGUUUAGAAGUGGCUUCUGAGUAAAGGCUUGUCCAGGCACCAUAGAGUGAUGAACCUGGAAUCUGGUCCCUGACUCAGCUUCGCCCUAGGUUUUUUAUCUUCUAAUUGGCUCAUAUAUUGUGUUAUCUGUUGUUAACUUCUGUGGUCUAUUGUCUUGUUGUUGUUUGUUCUUUUGUGUCUUAUUUUUUUUUGUUCUUUGGUUUUGGCUGAUUCAUUGUUUGAUACUGUGUGUCUAUGUAGAUUGAGGUAACAAGAUUGUUUAAAAUCUGUCACUUGGUGACUAUUAAAAUUGUUGAAUAGCUUUCUUAAAUCUGAUAGAAGGUUUAUAUAAGAUGUUUGGUCUUCGUUUUUUGUAAGUUGUGCAUAUAUUGUGGCAUGUUCUUAGAUCCAGUUUUUUAUUGAUUCAGGUUUAUAUGAGAUCCUUGUUGUUUAUGUUAUCUGUUUGGCUCUCAUCUUUGUUUGUCCUAAAGGGUUAGGUUUUGUAAAUCAUGACAGUUUGGGUAUAUCUUGGUUUUGUUAUGUCUCUUGAAUCUUGUAUGAUAAUUGAAUGGUCAUGUUUUUUUAUUCAUGACUUACUGUGGUUUUCAUUGCAUGAUCUUGUUGUUUCAUUCAUGAUUGGAUGUUUGGUUGCUAUGUAAUGUGUUAUGUUUGUGUGUUUUGAUGUGUUCUAUGAUGCGCUUCUUUAGAGCUUGCGUGUUGUACUUGAUGGUUUGCCUAGGUUUGAAAUUCAUCGUUGUGAUGUGUCUUGUUUUCGGUUAUAGAUUUUUUUUAGGUCUUGUUCAUUUGAGUCUUAUUGUUAAUUUGAUUAGUUUGUUUAUAAUCAUGGUGUUCAUGCCCAUUGUCUAGUAUUAGAUUUUUGUCAUGUUCAUGCGAUGGUUUGUUUUUUUAUAUGUGAAAGAGUUCUCUCAGACAUGUUCUUUGUAAUUGACUCGUUACAUUGGUAAACCAUCUUUCCUUAGAGCUAUACUUCUUUAGUUAGUUGUUAGUAUACUGACAUGAUUGAAAUAAAAAUUUGUUUCUUUUUGCCAUCUAUGAGCUUUAACAACAUUUGUUUCUUUCGUAGUUGUCCGCUAAAAUAGUCUUUUUUAUUAAACUUCUUAGAUCUCCUGUUCUUUGUUUGUUUAAGUGGUAAAGUGAAAUUGGUUUUAUGGUCAUAAUUGUAAUUACUGAAUGCGGUUUUGGAAAAUUUGUGGUUUUGUAGAUGAAAUUGGAUUACAAUCUGUUCUUUUAUCCAGAGAUGGUGUUUCAUUAAUAAAGAAAUAGUUAAAAAGUGUGCAGCUAGGGUUCCAGAACCUUCAUUUUUACGCAUCAACACAUAUCUACUCUGUGUAUAGUUCUGCCAUUAUCCCCCAAUUCUCUUUCAAUAUACACCGAUCAUACACACAGUUCUCUCAAUCCAUUAAAGAUGUGCAUUUCAUUCAAGUUCUGAUCUGAUGGAGAUCCGUUGUGGGACUUGUACAGCUGUUGGUCCGGUUGUGUUUCCAACACAGUAGAAGGAUUGAAGAUCUGUUGAAGAUCUCAUUAAUUUAUUCAGUUUGUGUUGUUGAAGAUCUUGUGAAUCUUCAUAUUCUUAGUUUUUCCUGUAUCCUUUUGUUAACCAGCCGAGUAUGGUCUGGUUAUUGUUGAUCCUGUGUUGGAUCUUGUUAUUUCACAUUUCUUUCUAUGAUCAACAGAUAUUUUAUCUGUUGAUCCUGUAUUUCGUAUUUGUUGUAUUAGAUCUUACAUAAGUAAGAUCUAGGGUUUGGGGGGUGUUUUUUGGUUUGGGUGAAAUAAUAAAGUUUUACGUCAUGUUUUUGUCGCUA